GAUCAUGGCUCAGGACGAACGCUGGCGGCGUGCUUAACACAUGCAAGUCGAACGGAGCACCCUUGACUGAGGUUUCGGCCAAAUGAUAGGAAUGCUUAGUGGCGGACUGGUGAGUAACGCGUGAGGAACUUGCCUUUCAGAGGGGGACAACAGUUGGAAACGACUGCUAAUACCGCAUGAUGCGUAACUGGGACAUCCCGGAUACGCCAAAGAUUUUACCGCUGAAAGAUGGCCUCGCG
rnacentral:rRNA from 1 species